AUUGAACGCUGGCGGCAGGCCUAACACAUGCAAGUCGAACGGUAACAGGAAACAGCUUGCUGUUUCGCUGACGAGUGGCGGACGGGUGAGUAAUGUCUGGGAAACUGCCUGAUGGCGGGGGAUAACUACUGGAAACGGUAGCUAAUACCGCAUAACGUCGCAAGACCAAAGAGGGGGACCCUCGGGCCUCUUGCCAUCGGAUGUGCCCAGAUGGGAUUAGCUUGUUGGUGGGGUAACGGCUCACCAAGGCGACGAUCCCUAGCUGGUCUGAGAGGAUGACCAGCCACACUGGAACUGAGACACGGUCCAGACUCCUACGGGAGGCAGCAGUGGGGAAUAUUGCACAAUGGGCGCAAGCCUGAUGCAGCCAUGCCGCGUGUAUGAAGAAGGCCUUCGGGUUGUAAAGUACUUUCAGCGGGGAGGAAGGGAGUAAAGUUAAUACCUUGGCUCAUUGACGUUACCCGCAGAAGAAGCACCGGCUAACUCCGUG
rnacentral:rRNA from 1 species